CUGUUUUCCAUAGCAACUUCCCUUCCUCUCCAAACUCCAGCAAAGAGCUCUGCUAGGGCACAUCAUCCACACGUCUCCAAGCUACCAAAACUCUUUUCUUGUUACAGCCCUACUCGAGUUCCUGGAGCUGUGCUAUCCCUUGGUUAAGGACUUUUGCUUUCUGUACCCAAAACAAGAGAUGUGAAUGCUUCUGGAGGUAGGCUUGAUGGUGGUCGUAGCGGUGCAGCCUAGUGGGCCAGUUGUUAUGGUUUUCGCAGAAGUCCUAUGGCCCUAGUGCCUUGUAAUUCCAUGCUCAUAGAGCAUCUCUUUUGCACAACUGUUGAACCUUUAGAAUUGCGUUUUGUUUAUGGCAUGGAUGUAUGCCUAAAU